rnacentral:rRNA from 1 species
UCAAUUGGAAAGCUUCGGCCGAAGGAUUGAGUUCGAGUGGCGGACGGGUGAGUAACGCGUGAACAAUCUGUCCCAGACAGGGGGAUAACACUUGGAAACAGGUGCUAAUACCGCAUGAGACCACAGUAUCGCAUGGUACAGGGGUAAAAGGAGCGAUCCGGUUUGGGGUGAGUUCGCGUCCGAUUAGCCAGUUGGGGGGUAACGGCCCACCAAAGCGACGAUCGGCAGCCGACCUGAGAGGGUGAUCGGCCACAUUGGAACUGAGAGACGGUCCAAACGUCCUACGGGAGGCAGCAGUGGGGAAUAUUGGGCGAAUGGGCGAAAGCCUGGAACCCCCAGCAACGCCGCGUGAGUGAAGAAGGCCUUCGGGUUGUAAAGCUCUGUUACAGGUGACGAAGGAAGUGACGGUAGCUUUGUAAGGAAGCCCCGGCUAACUACGUGCCAGCCGCAGC